GGCAACCCUGACGGAGCAACGCCGCGUGUGGGAGGACGGCCUUCGGGUUGUAAACCACUUUUCUCAGGGAAGAAGAACUGACGGUACCUGAGGAAUAAGCCUCGGCUAACUCCGUGCCAGCAGCCGCGGUAAUACGGAGGAGGCAAGCGUUAUCCGGAAUUAUUGGGCGUAAAGCGUCCGCAGGUGGCGUAUCAAGUCUGCUGUCAAAGACUAGAGCUUAACUCUGGAAAGGCAGUGGAAACUGGUAGGCUAGAGUACGGUAGGGGUAGAGGGAAUUCCCAGUGUAGCGGUGAAAUGCGUAGAUAUUGGGAAGAACACCAGUGGCGAAGGCGCUCUACUGGGCCGUAACUGACACUCAGGGACGAAAGCUAGGGGAGCG
rnacentral:rRNA from 1 species